rnacentral:lncRNA from 1 species
UCAAACUCCUGACCUCAAGUGAUUCAGCCGCCUCGCCUCCCAAAGUGCUGGGAUUACAGGUGUGAGGCACCACAUCCGACCUCUGCUCUUCCUCAAAGGCCACCAAAUCAUGCCAGCUAACUGUGCAAAGAUGUUAGCCUGAUAGUCAAAGCUCUUCCCAGACUCUUAUAAACAUAGAAGAACAUAGCGGUUAAGAACAUGAGCUCUGCAGCAGGAUUACACGGAUUCCAAUCUCAGCUCAGCCACAUACUAGCUGUGUGAUGUUGGAUGAGAACAUUGAGGCCUAGGGCAUUUCAAUAGCUUGCCAAAGGGCUCAUCAUUCUCGGGUAACAGGAUGAGGCCAGACACCAAGGAUCCCUGGAUCCAUGCCCUACUCUCCACACUUGUCUUGGGUCUAUGAAGCCCCCAGUCCCAAGGUAAGUCAUGUCAUUGUGGAAAUUAAUUGCAACCUUUCAUGAUUGUCCGAUCCCAUCUAUGGGUUUCAAGGAAGAUUAUGAAGUCCUUAGAACCACAAUGUGUCUAAUUUUUAUUCUGUAUUUUAUUUAUUUUUAAAUGUCUGAGAUGCUGAGAACCUGAGAUAUCACUCAUCUCAUCUUCCUGAAUUUUAUGAACUAAGAAGCGAAAGCUCACCCAAAGCCAUUUAUAGAGUCUAUGGAAAAAGAAGGACUAGACCCUGGAUUCCGUGAUUUACAGGUUUUUCUUCUCCUAAUUUUCAAUCCACUCCAAAACAUGCAGAGAGAUGACCUUAGCAAAGAUGUUUAUUAGUGUACGUUGGUGCUGUUGUUUCGGGGAGGGGGUCGGAAGGUCUUGGAAUCACUUCCUACUGUGUAAUCUGCAAGCUUCCCACUGCGUCUUCCUCUUCCUCUUUGCUUUUUCCAGAGAUAUAAAGGGUGGCUGGUGCCAUUCUUCCAAAAGGAAAGCUGUCAUCUUUACUCACUCAGUCCUCAGCAAACUAUCUGAGCACUAUUUUUGUGCCUCAUCUGGGAGCUGGGGAGUCAGUGAUGGGCAAGAUAUGGUCUUUACUUGCAAAAUUCCCAUAGCACAUUGGAGAAGAAAAAACAGCAAUCAGCACGCAGCAAGAAAGCGGCUGUGUGGCAACCAGGAAGACAGCCUUUAUCAGAAUCCAG